UGGGGAAUAUUGCACAAUGGGCGAAAGCCUGAUGCAGCAAGGCCGCGGGUGUGAAGAAGGCCUUCGGGUUGUAAAGCACUUUCAGCGGGGAGGAAGGCGAUAAGGCUAAUAACAUUGUCGAUGGACGAUACCCGCAGAAGAAGCACGGGCUAACUCCGUGCGAGCAGCCGCGGUAAUACGGAGGGUGCAAGCGAUAAUCGGAAUGACUGGGCGUAAAGCGCACGCAGGCGGUUGGUCAAGUCGGAUGUGAAAUCCCCGGGCUCAACCUGGGAACUGCAUUCGAAACUGGCAGGCUAGAGUCUUGUAGAGGGGGGUAGAAUUCCAGGUGUAGCGGUGAAAUUCGUAGAGAUCUGGAGGAAUACCGGUGGCGAAGGCGGCCCCCUGGACACAGACUGACGCUCAGGUGCGAAAGCGUGGGGAGCAAACAGG
rnacentral:rRNA from 1 species